rnacentral:misc_RNA from 1 species
GCCUAAUACAGACUUUUCAUACUUGAUAUUUCAAAAUUAAACAUUCUAGUCCCUGAGAUUAUUGACAGCAUGGCAGUCAAGCCUUUGAGGCAUAACGCAAUAAAUUUUUUAUAACACUUUAGUCCUUGAUAUUUAAAAUUUGACUAUAUUCCUAAAUUUUAAAAUUUUAUUGCACUUCUAUCCUUGAAUUGUUGCACUAAUAAACAUUUCUUGCAUCUCAAUAUAUUACAUCUUCAACAAUCAUAGUAAAAGGAUUAAGACGCCUAUUUUCUAAAUAGACAGGACAAAAAUUUAUCUAAGGCUAAAUCCUAAGGAGCUUUUAGUUAACUUCCCUGUUAAAAUGCUCUAAAAUGAAAACCAUGAAUUUUGCAUGAAUAAGACAAACAAGAAAAAGAGGACAAGUUGGCACAUAUCACCUCUUAAUCACAUAUCACGUCUUAAUCUCAUAUGGUAUGAUGAGGAAAUAUUAGGUCUGCGAAUGUUACUUAGACUCCGGUAUGAGCAUCCAAAUGCAGUUAUGCAUCCAUGGGUCAGACUCAUGAUUUUGAAUUACAAAAUGAAAACCAGAAAUGGCGUUGCAGAAUCAAACUGAAUCAGCUGACGCUACAAUGAAUUUUCUCAAACCAUUGGCAAUUCACCUUAAAUCAACACUACACCAAGAAUUGAAUAAAUAGGGAAGAUAUUAAAUCAAUAAACACCCAAAGGAACAAUUUAUUAAAUAAUAUAGUUGCUAGUCACCACUCACCACCAAAAUGAUAAUUUCAUCAAGGCAAUAUGGACCAAAUUGCUUUCAAUACAUUACAUAUUUUAUAAAUAUGCAAAUAAUAAAUAACUUUUCCUUAUAAAAGUUAGAAAUUAAAAAUACUACAAUCAAAAUAAUAAAUUAACAAUUAUUUCCCCACAUCCAUUAACAAACUAUCUUUUGGAUUAAAAACUUAUAGAUCUUAAAAUUUUACUUAUUUAUAACUAUUAAAA